rnacentral:rRNA from 1 species
GACAGAGGGUGCAAACGUUGUUCGGAAUUACUGGGCGUAAAGCGCGUGUAGGCGGCUUGGCAAGUCGGGUGUGAAAGCCCCGGGCUCAACCUGGGAAGUGCACUCGAAACUGCUUGGCUUGAGUACUGGAGAGGGAAGCGGAAUUCUCGGUGUAGAGGUGAAAUUCGUAGAUAUCGAGAGGAACACCGGUGGCGAAGGCGGCUUCCUGGACAGUUACUGACGCUGAGACGCGAAAGCGUGGGGGAGCAAACAGG